rnacentral:rRNA from 1 species
UACGGAGGAUCCAAGCGUUAUCCGGAUUUAUUGGGUUUAAAGGGUGCGUAGGCGGAUUGAUAAGUUAGAGGUGAAAUGUCCGAGCUCAACUCGGGAACUGCCUCUAAUACUGUUGAUCUAGAGAGUAGAUGCGGUAGACGGAAUGUAUGGUGUAGCGGUGAAAUGCUUAGAGAUCAUACAGAACACCGAUUGCGAAGGCAGCUUACCAAUCUAUAUCUGACGUUGAGGCACGAAAGCGUGGGGAGCAAACAGG